rnacentral:rRNA from 1 species
UACGUAGGGUGCGAGCGUUGUCCGGAAUUAUUGGGCGUAAAGAGCUCGUAGGCGGUCUGUCGCGUCGGUCGUGAAAACUUGGGGCUUAACCCUGAGCUUGCGGUCGAUACGGGCAUGACUGGAGUUCGGUAGGGGAGUCUGGAAUUCCUGGUGUAGCGGUGAAAUGCGCAGAUAUCAGGAGGAACACCGGUGGCGAAGGCGGGACUCUGGGCCGAUACUGACGCUGAGGAGCGAAAGCGUGGGGAGCAAACAGG